CCUCCGGUAGCUCAGCGGGAAGAGUGAACAGAGCAUAACUCUGUGGACGCUGGUUCGAGUCCAGCCCGGAGGG
rnacentral:tRNA from 1 species